rnacentral:rRNA from 1 species
GGAAGGUUAAUUGAUGGGGUUAGCGCAAGCGAAGCUCUUGAUCGAAGCCCCGGUAAACGGCGGCCGUAACUAUAACGGUCCUAAGGUAGCGAAAUUCCUUGUCGGGUAAGUUCCGACCUGCACGAAUGGCGUAACGAUGGCGGCGCUGUCUCCACCCGAGACUCAGUGAAAUUGAAAUCGCUGUGAAGAUGCAGUGUAUCCGCGGCUAGACGGAAAGACCCCGUGAACCUUUACUAUAGCUUUGCACUGGACUUUGAAUUUGCUUGUGUAGGAUAGGUGGGAGGCUUUGAAGUGGGGACGCCAGUUCUCAUGGAGCCAAUCUUGAAAUACCACCCUGGCAACUUUGAGGUUCUAACUCAGGUCCGUUAUCCGGAUCGAGGACAGUGUAUGGUGGGUAGUUUGACUGGGGCGGUCUCCUCCCAAAGAGUAACGGAGGAGUACGAAGGUGCGCUCAGACCGGUCGGAAAUCGGUCGUAGAGUAUAAAGGCAAAAGCGCGCUUGACUGCGAGACCCACACGUCGAGCAGGUACGAAAGUAGGUCUUAGUGAUCCGGUGGUUCUGUAUGGAAGGGCCAUCGCUCAACGGAUAAAAGGUACUCCGGGGAUAACAGGCUGAUACCGCCCAAGAGUUCAUAUCGACGGCGGUGUUUGGCACCUCGAUGUCGGCUCAUCACAUCCUGGGGCUGAAGCCGGUCCCAAGGGUAUGGCUGUUCGCCAUUUAAAGUGGUACGCGAGCUGGGUUUAGAACGUCGUGAGACAGUUCGGUCCCUAUCUGCCGUGGACGUUUGAGAUUUGAGAGGGGCUGCUCCUAGUACGAGAGGACCGGAGUGGACGAACCUCUGGUGUUCCGGUUGUCACGCCAGUGGCAUUGCCGGGUAGCUAUGUUCGGAAGAGAUAACCGCUGAAAGCAUCUAAGCGGGAAACUUGCCUCAAGAUGAGAUCUCACUGGGAUCUAGAAUCCCCUGAAGGGCCGUCGAAGACUACGACGUUGAUAGGUUGGGUGUGUAAGCGCUGUGAGGCGUUGAGCUAACCAAUACUAAUUGCCCGUGAGGCUUGACCAU